rnacentral:lncRNA from 1 species
CUGGCUUCUUUCACAUAGUAUAAUAUUUUCAAGGUAGUCACAUUUGUAGCAUGUUAUCAGUGCUUUACUUCUUUUGAUGGUUGAAUAACAAGUCCAUUGUAUGGAUAUACCAUAUUUUCUCUAUUCAUUCAUCAGUUUUUUGAUAUUUGGGUUGUUUUCAGCUUUUGUCUAUUGUGAAUAACGCUACUGUGAAUAUUUGAGUACAAUAUUUACUCCAGUACUGCACUGUCUUG